rnacentral:rRNA from 1 species
AAUAGAUACCCUGGUAGUCCACGCCGUAAACGAUGAGUGCUAAGUGUUAGAGGGUUUCCGCCCUUUAGUGCUGAAGUUAACGCAUUAAGCACUCCGCCUGGGGAGUACGGCCGCAAGGCUGAAACUCAAAGGAAUUGACGGGGGCCCGCACAAGCGGUGGAGCAUGUGGUUUAAUUCGAAGCAACGCGAAGAACCUUACCAGGUCUUGACAUCCUCUGACAACCCUAGAGAUAGGGCUUCUCCUUCGGGAGCAGAGUGACAGGUGGUGCAUGGUUGUCGUCAGCUCGUGUCGUGAGAUGUUGGGUUAAGUCCCGCAACGAGCGCAACCCUUGAUCUUAGUUGCCAUCAUUCAGUUGGGCACUCUAAGGUGACUGCCGGUGACAAACCGGAGGAAGGUGGGGAUGACGUCAAAUCAUCAUGCCCCUUAUGACCUGGGCUACACACGUGCUACAAUGGACGGUACAAAGAGCUGCAAGACCGCGAGGUGGAGCUAAUCUCAUAAAACCGUUCUCAGUUCGGAUUGUAGG